rnacentral:rRNA from 1 species
UACGGAGGAUGCGAGCGUUAUCCGGAUUUAUUGGGUUUAAAGGGUGCGCAGGCGGAGGCACAAGUCAGCGGUAUAAUCGCGGGGCUCAACCCCGCUCCGCCGUUGAAACUGUGUCCCUUGAGUGCGCGAAGGGUAGGCGGAAUGCGUGGUGUAGCGGUGAAAUGCAUAGAUAUCACGCAGAACUCCGAUCGCGAAGGCAGCCUACCGGCGCGCUACUGACGCUCAUGCACGAAAGCGUGGGUAUCGAACAGG